UACGGGGGGUGCGAGCGUUGUCCGGAAUCACUGGGCGUAAAGGGCGCGUAGGUGGUUUGAUAAGGGUGUGGUGAAAGUCCGGGGCUCAACCCCGGAUCUCGCCGUCGCCGACAUGUCAACUCGAGGGCUGUAGAGGCAGACGGAAUUCCGGGUGUAGCGGUGGAAUGCGUAGAGAUCCGGAGGAAGACCGGUGGCGAAGGCGGUCUGCUGGGCAGUGACGUGACGCUGAGACGCGAAAGCGUGGGGAGCAAACAGGG
rnacentral:rRNA from 1 species